ACUUUUGUGGCAUUACCUCCAGCAACAGUAGGAAAUAGGGUUAUUUUUGGAAAAAAUUCAGACAGACUCUUUGAUGAAGUACAAGAAGUAAUUUACUGUCCAGCUGCAGUUCAUAAUGAUUUGGAAAAACGUCUCAAGUGUACUUAUAUAGAAGUUGAUCAAGUUCCUGAAACAUAUGCUGUUGUCCUUAGUCGCCCAGCUUGGCUGUGGGGGGCAGAAAUGGGUGCCAAUGAGCAUGGAGUCUGCAUUGGGAAUGAGGCUGUAUGGGGAAGAGAAGACAUUUCUAAGGAGGAAGCACUUUUGGGCAUGGACCUUGUCAGGUAACAGUUGUGCUGCUUUCCCACUGUAGAUGAUGUGGGAAAUGGUAAAUACCAACCCACAUCCAUUUUCACUCACUGAUGUCACUAAUUAGUCCAAGCGCAUGGCUCAGUCCACAUAGUCCUCACUCC
rnacentral:lncRNA from 1 species